CGCCCGCCGCGCGCGGCGGGCUACGGGAGGCAGCAGUGGGGAAUAUUGCACAAUGGGCGCAAGCCUGAUGCAGCCAUGCCGCGUGUGUGAAGAAGGCCUUCGGGUUGUAAAGCACUUUCAGCGGGGAGGAAGGCGGUGAGGUUAAUAACCUUGUCGAUUGACGUUACCCGCAGAAGAAGCACCGGCUAACUCCGUGCCAGCAGCCGCGGUAAUA
rnacentral:rRNA from 1 species